rnacentral:rRNA from 1 species
UCCGUAGGCGGGCAAUUAAGUCAGAGGUGAAAUCCCACAGCUCAACUGUGGAACUGCCUUUGAUACUGAUUGUCUUGAGUUAUAGUGAAGUAGAUAGAAUGUGUAGUGUAGCGGUGAAAUGCAUAGAUAUUACACAGAAUACCGAUUGCGAAGGCAGUCUACUAACUAUAUACUGACGCUAAUGGACGAAAGCGUGGGGAGCGAACAGGAUUAGAUACCCUGGUAGUCC